CUCCAUUUUCCUUGGUUUCUUUGGAGUAAGUUUCUAAUCUUCCUUUUGUGGGUAUAUAAGCAUGAUAUGAGUCAUGCAUGUGUGUUUUGAAGCAUGAAAAAUCCUUCCCCUCAUGUUCAUGGAAUUUUUGAAAAACAUGGUCCUUGAGGGAACCAAAAAUUUGCAAGUUAUUUUUCAACCCAUAAGUUAUAUAUCUCUAUAUGAUUAGAUGCAUAUAAGUUGAAUAUGAGCUCUUGAACACCUAUAUAUUGGCUACAUGUUAUAAUAUGUGUGAAGCAUGAUGAAAUUUUAGUAUGAGGAAGUGUGUGGUUUGGAGUGAAAUAAUAGAUCUAUGAUGAGAUAUGUGAAGUAGACUUUGAAAGUGAAAGUUUUGGUUUUUAACCAUUUGAGAGGUUUAAAAUAAGCUACUGAUCUACUGAUUCGACGAGACUUUUGUUACCCAAAAAUCUUGAACAUUUUAUGGUGGGUAGAUAGGAGUGUCGUGAACAUGAAUGUAAAAUUUCAAGUUAUUUGGACUUUAUUUACUACAACCUUUUUAAAAUACCAAACUCCAACUGCCAGUUUCUGCCAAAAAUUUUAAAAGGACGACCCUUGAGUCAUCUUUUUCUGUACCUUUCUGCCAUUCUAUGCUUCUCAAAUUUUUAUGGUGGGAAGAUACAUGUGUCGGGUAUCCACAUACCAAAAUUCAGGCCAUUUUUGGCAAUGUUUACUAUUUUUCAAAAAUUAAAACUUCCAGUUGCUCGAAUCUACCGAAUCUAGUAGAGGGUGGGAAAAUGGCCAUAUCUUUUUAUCCACUUGGAUUUUUUUCAGCCUACUUGUUUUUAAAUGAAAUUAGAUGAGAGAGAUUUUCAUUUAUAAAUUUCGAACACAGAUGAGCUCUAAGUGAAAAAGUUUAUUCUCCAAAUUAAGUCAGUGCAGAGGCAGUGAGUGCGAUUAUUCCAGAUUUUGUACUUGUGCACUCAUAUGAGUUUUAUUAAUGUGUGAAUGACUUAUGUGGACUAUUGAGUGCUAUUUACCGAUAGGAAUGAGAUCUUAUAGUUGGGUAAGAUGUCCUCUUCGUAAGAGGUUCACUUAGGUAAAUAGUAAGAGAGUUAUAAGAUAAGGUUGAAGCUUGAAAUAAGGGUAUAGUGUGGAGAUUGAGUUGGAUUGGUUUCUAACGAGAAUUUAUUUUGUCGCAUGACAACCUCAACGACGUCAAUCACUAAAGGUACGAGUGACAGCCGACGUUAGAACGACGCCGAGCUCUACUUCAUUGACACCGAAGACAAGUAGAUUUAUUUUCAUAUACAUCAAAUGAUUUAAAUGUUACAUUUGAGAAAGUUAUUUCGUUACAAAAUCUUUGAACUGAGAAUUAUUUCAACUAUUUUCUUGCCAUAAAUGUUUCAGUUUUAGUAUGAUAUCUAUCUGCCAAUUAAAAUCGAAUUCGAGUCCUGAGCAUUAGAUAGCUAUCCUACCAGGGCUAGUGUACAUCAGUGACCGUGAGUCAUCUAGCGUGUUGGCCAAUCAAGUGUCCAUGAGAGGUGGCCUCCUCUUUGGCACUCAGUUACGGAUAUGAUAGAUUAGAAGAGAACUUAGUCUGAUCAGGUGAACUUUAAGAAUCACAAAUGACUUUAGUAAGCUUGGGCUUCUUUUAACGAAAACUCUCUUGUUGUACUAUUUUUGAUGGCAUGACAAUUUAAAAUAUUACGAAGCAUGUUUCCUUUUAUACUUAGGCAUACGUGUCCACUGAGUACUAUUAUACUCAGCCUCUGCAUAUAUUUCUAAAUGUGCAGGUUAAGCAGCGGUAGGUGGUGAUGAAGUGACAAGCGGAAUUUCUUUUGUCUUAGUCUUAUGUAUUAAUGAACUCUUGGGGGUACAUGUCUUCAUACAUGUAAUCAGAACCCUUAUUCCGCUGUGUACUCAUAAAUCUUAUGUUAUUUUGGCUAAGUCGGAGCUAUUCGAACUUACUAGCUUAUUCGAGUCAUUUUGAUUAAAC
rnacentral:lncRNA from 1 species